GACUGAGGGUGCAAACGUUGUUCGGAAUUACUGGGCGUAAAGCGUGUGUAGGCGGUCAAGUAAGUCGGAUGUGAAAGCCCCGGGCUCAACCCGGGAAGUGCACUCGAAACUGCAUGACUUGAGUAUCGGAGAGGUUGGUGGAAUUCUCGGUGUAGAGGUGAAAUUCGUAGAUAUCGAGAGGAACACCGGUGGCGAAGGCGGCCAACUGGACGAAUACUGACGCUGAGACACGAAAGCGUGGGGAGCAAACAGG
rnacentral:rRNA from 1 species